GACGAACGCUGGCGGCGUGCCUAAUACAUGCAAGUCGAACGCUGAAGGAGGAGCUUGCUCUUCUGGAUGAGUUGCGAACGGGUGAGUAACGCGUAGGUAACCUGCCUGGUAGCGGGGGAUAACUAUUGGAAACGAUAGCUAAUACCGCAUAACAGUAGAUGUUGCAUGACAUUUACUUAAAAGGUGCACUUGCAUCACUACCAGAUGGACCUGCGUUGUAUUAGCUAGUUGGUGGGGUAACGGCUCACCAAGGCGACGAUACAUAGCCGACCUGAGAGGGGUAUCGGCCACAAUGGGACUGAGACACGGCCCAGACUCCUACGGGAGGCAGCAGUAGGGAAUCUUCGGCAAUGGACGGAAGUCUGACCGAGCAACGCCGCGUGAGUGAAGAAGGUUGUCGGAUCGGAAAGCUCUGUUGUAAGAGAAGAAAGAGUGUGAGAGUGGAAAGUUCACACUGUGACGGUAUCUGACCAGAAAGGGACGGCUAACUACGUG
rnacentral:rRNA from 1 species